rnacentral:ncRNA from 1 species
AAUGGCCGCAGCGUUGCUGACGCCCGUGCAGGGAAAGUCCGGUCCGAGUCCGGCGCUGACCCGCAACGGUAGGCCGUCCAUCCGACGGUGAGCCCGAUCGCCUGCACGGGGGUGCGCGA